rnacentral:sRNA from 2 species
UGCUCAGCCGCGCCGAACUCCAUCCGCUGACGCACGGGACCACGACCGAACAACUCGGAUGGAGGCGGGGGACCCAACCGGUCCGCCGAAUAGCAGCGGACUCGGAGCCUUUCGGCUCCUUGGGGUGAAGCCGUCGUCGUCAUCUCGACGAUGCCGGCCGGGCGACCUCUCCAGCCCGAACCCGACAGCUGACCUCGCGGGCGCCGACGAGAGGACCU